ACUGCUGAUGCUUCACCUUUGGAAUCGGAGGGCUUGGAGGAGAAGAGAUCGUCGGCGAGCUUGACCUUGCCGUCGCCCAUGUUUGGUGGAGCUCGAAGGUGAACAGAGAGAUCCAGAAAGAUCGGUAGAAGAACAAGAAAGAGAAGAAGAGUAUGAAGACGAAGAUGAAGAUUAAGAAGAUGAAGAAGAAGUGGUUUCAAGUGACGACGGCGAAGGGCGAAGGGCGAAGGGCGAAGGUUGGGAGGAGCUCUUCCAGGCGAGUGGUUUCGAAGGUGAAAGAGUGGUUUUCGAAGAUUAGGGUUAGUGUCAAUAGGUUGGGGACCGGGUUGGGGACCGGGUUUUGGGGCCGGGUUAUAGUCAAUGGGUUGGGACCCUCUGGCCACGCUUAUAAAAUGUCGCUGUUUCACUCUACGGCCACGCUUUCGAAGCGUGGCAGAAAAAAAACUUUUGGCCACGCUUUUAAAGCGUGCCAAAAGAGUACCAGGAUA